GGCGCACGGGUGAGUAACGCGUACACAAUCUGCCUUUAAGCGGGGAAUACCCUAUGGAAACGUAGAUUAAUACCCCAUAGCAUCACGAGAACGCAUGUUUUUGUGAUUAAAGCUCCGGUGCUUAAAGAUGAGUGUGCGUCCUAUUAGCUAGAUGGUAAGGUAACGGCUUACCAUGGCAACGAUAGGUAGGGGGCGUGAGAGCGUGAUCCCCCACACGGGUACUGAGACACGGACCCG
rnacentral:rRNA from 1 species